rnacentral:ncRNA from 1 species
GUUUCUAAUUAUAAUGAUUGAGAACCCAGUGUAGAAGUAACACCAUACUGCUGGGAACAUUACCUAUCAAAGCAUAGUUUAAAAUUUCAAUGAUAGUUGAAGUGGAGAUAUUUUAAUAUUUGGUAACAAAUAUUAAAAACUAACAUAAAUUUGUUAGUGUGUGUGGUAGUGUGUGCUAAAGUAAUUGCAUUAUAAAGUACGGUCUUAUCGCUCUCAUAAUAGACGCUGUUGUACAGAAUAAUCUAAGUUAGUUAUAAAUGUGGUAGUUUAUAAAAACCUUAGAAUACCAAUAAGAGAGUUUGUAGUGAUGUUGUAGUAAUACAACUAUAAGAUAAUUUGACGGUACGAGUAGCCAAAUCUACAAGAUAAAAUUAAGAGCAAAAAAGAGAGCAAAAAACUCAAAUAAUAACUGAAUGGUUGGUGAAAGUUGCAAAUAAUCAAUUUUGCAUAGGUAUAUUAAAUUGUUUUCAAUUCAUAGGUUAUACAGCGUAAGAGUCGCUAUCUUGCGUUCAGGUAUAACUUCCUAUUGACUGAAUAAUAAUGAAGAUUAUGGAAGUAUGGCGAAGGUCACUUGAUUAUUUUGUAAUUAG